rnacentral:rRNA from 1 species
GACGAACGCUGGCGGCGUGCCUAAUACACGCAAGUCGAGCGAAGUUUUUCUGGUGCUUGCACCGGAAAAACUUAGCGGCGAACGGGUGAGUAACACGUAAAGAACCUGCCUCAUAGACUGGGACAACUAUUGGAAACGAUAGCUAAUACCGGAUAACAGCAUUAACUGCAUGGUUGAUGUUUAAAAGUUGGUUUUGCUAACACUAUGAGAUGGCUUUGCGGUGCAUUAGCUAGUUGGUGGGGUAAAGGCCUACCAAGGCGACGAUGCAUAGCCGACCUGAGAGGGUGAUCGGCCACACUGGGACUGAGACACGGCCCAGACUCCUACGGGAGGCAGCAGUAGGGAAUCUUCCGCAAUGGGCGAAAGCCUGACGGAGCAACGCCGCGUGAGUGAAGAAGGAUUUCGGUUCGUAAAGCUCUGUUGUUAGGGAAGAAUGAUUGUGUAGUAACGAGACACAGUAGAGACGGUACCUAACCAGAAAGCCACGGCUAACUACGUG